rnacentral:tRNA from 1 species
GCGCGCGAUAGCCCAAUGCGAGAGGCAAGCCUACAACGCCCAUAAGUGCGGGUUCAAGUCCCGCUCGCGCGCA